CCGAUACUAUGAUGAUAACAUAGUUCAGCAGACAGCCUCUGAUGAACAAAUCAUAAGUCUUUCGCUCCUAUCUGAUGUAUCUG